AGAUUGAACGCUGGCGGCAUGCCUUACACAUGCAAGUCGAACGGCAGCACGGACUUCGGUCUGGUGGCGAGUGGCGAACGGGUGAGUAAUAUAUCGGAACGUACCCUGGAGUGGGGGAUAACGCAGCGAAAGUUGCGCUAAUACCGCAUACGAUCUACGGAUGAAAGUGGGGGCUCGCAAGACCUCAUGCUCGUGGAGCGGCCGAUAUCUGAUUAGCUAGUUGGUAAGGGUAAAAGCCUACCAAGGCCUCGAUCAGUAGCUGGUCUGAGAGGACGACCAGCCACAC
rnacentral:rRNA from 1 species